UAACAGCUGUAAGCUAUGUAUAUAUUGAAACGCUGGUUAUAAUAAACUCAGAGUGGCCAUCAGCUCUCUCCGCCUCUAUCCUGAUGUGUACAUUGGAUUGCGACACCGACAUAUGGUGACCCCAACGUGAUCCAAGAUCGGCGGCAUUAUUGCUUCACAGCUACCUAAUGAAGAAGCUUCCCUUAUCAUCCCAUCUACCAGAUGAAAAGACCAAGGCACAGAGAGUAAGACGUACACCAGGAAGUGGCAAGAUCAGGACCCAGAUAGUAACACAGCACCUGCUACUCCGGCUCUGAUCACUGUCAUAUCUAAGCUCGUCAAGUGACAUUGCUGUACCAAGAGACAAAGGUGAGGGUUGGGCACAAGAGAAUACACAAGAGUUUUGGAAAGCAGAAGUGAAGCAGGAGCAAUUCUGUUCUGAAGAUUUCCUCCUCCCAGUGCUCCAAGUCCUGGGGCAGAUGAGUAUGUGGCUCCACAGUGAAGACUGCCAGUUCCUUCCAUGGGUCACCCACAACUUUGAGAUUGGUGAAAAAGAGACGAGGACUCCAGCUUGCUUUCGUGGGCCCAGUUCAUCCUUGCUCGAACACCCCUCACCUUCAUGUCCUGCUUUUCUUCCUGACUUUCACACCAGAAGACCUACAGUGACUUCAGCUCCGCUACCAAAAAGCAGCCUCCAUGCCCUUUUCACCAGCUCCCACCACUGCCUUCAGUUUCAUCCCCAAUAAUAAAUCCCAUCUUUCACGUGAGGAAUGGUGGUUCUGCUUCUCUUUUGAACUGUAACCGAUCAGCCAAAAUUAUUGAAAGUUAGCAUGCUUGUCAAAAAUGCCUCAGAUUUUAUACUAGAAAGAAAGAAUUAUAAAUACAGUUGAAGUGCCCUUUAUUCCUCUUUUCUUCCCUAGAAACAACUAUCGUGAUUUUGAUGUCUAUUUUCCAGGCCAUAUAUUUUAUGCUUUUACUAUUCAUAGGCAACCUAUAGGCCUUGGGGUUGUUUUGAAAUUUUGCAUAGAUAGUAAUAUGCCAAACAUAUUACUUCACAACUUAUUUUUUAAACUCAUUAUGUUUAAGAUCCAUAAACUGGUUCUAGUUCAUAUAUUUAUCUGCUAUAUAAUAUGGCAUCAUAUGAAUAUACCAGAUUGUUUCUAUUUUUUUUCUAUAAAUGUACUGCAAUGACAUCUUUUUUCUUUUAUCUGGAGAAUAGUUUACACACUGGAAAGUACACAAAUCUUAAGUAUUCAGUGCAAUGAAUUUUCGCUUGUCUACAUACCUAUGUAGUCACCACCCAGAACAAGAUAUGGAAAAUUUCCGGCACCUCUGCAGACUCCCUCUCAAUACAGUCUCCUAAAGGUAACCACAUGUUUGGCUAGUUUUUUGUUCUUUUAAACUUCAUGUAAAUGGAGUCACACAGUGCAUACGUUUUGGUGUCUGGCUUUUUCCCUCAACAUUAUGUUCCCAUACAAGAUUCAUCUGUAUGGUAUGUAGUAGUAGCUACAUACAAUACACCUCAUCAGUGCAGUGUUGUAUGAAUUGUAUGAAUAUCCUAUAGAUUGCUUAGCCAUUCCACUGUUGGAGGACAUUUAGAUUGGUUCCAGUUUGGGGCUAUUAUGUAUAAUGCUACUAUGAACAUUCUAGUAUUACAUUGAUGAGCCAUAAAAAUUGGAAUUUUGGAGGUCAAAACUGGUUGAAUAUCUGAAAUUUAAGAUUGUUAACAUAAUAUAUGUAUUGUGACAGACAUAAAAGCACUCAUUCCCCUUCAGUUUGUAGCAACCAUGGGGCUUUACCACUCACAUCUCCAGUGGAGAAAGAACUUGCCAUUCAGCUGUACGGAGGGCACUUAACUGGCAGCCUCCAGCGGGUGGCACCUUCAGGCUCCAAUCUCACCUUUUCAGCUGAGGCCACAUUCUUCCUGGGUAGUCUCCAGAGAAUGACUGAGCAGAGCAGAGUUCUUAGGCCCUGACCAUUUCUGCCCACAGCCAGAUUCUUCUUAGGGGUAAUCUGUACUCUGGAGUUCCUCGUUGGAUUGAGCCAGACUGUCAGGUAGGCCUCGCAGUAUAAAGUCUUUCCCAGCACAAUCCUGAUCAUUUUAUCACUUACAGAUAUAACCCUUCAAUAAACCUCUUGUAAUCCAACUCCAUCUGCUGCCAGAAAGAACCAAACAACACAGUUGGUACCAAGCAUAGUGUGAGAAAGCAGGUGGUAAAAUGGAGUUUUGAGACUGGAUUGCUCACUGUCUGAGUGUCAAUAAUAAUCAAAUGGUAUGUGGGGCACUGAGAGUCCACAGCACAAGAUAGUGGACCAAUUACUUAAACUUUUAUCAGUGGUGACUUGGGAAAGUAUUCUAGCAGAGGGGACCACCCUGGCUAGUGUUUUGGCAUUUGAAAAGUAAGGGGGAUCAACGCAAACAAGGACUGUGGAAUCAGCUGGUUGUCACUAAGUUUCAUUGAUGUCCUAUAGACAGGUAAUGAAAGCUGCGGGUCAUUAACAACUAACUGAAAACUAUGAAGGUUAGAGGGCCUGAUGCGUAGCUUACUAAGAGGCCCUUAUCUCUUAUCAUGGAAGAGCAGAAAAAGCUACAGACCAAAGCUAGGAUUCAGUAUUUGGAGUUACAGACUUUCAAAAAUGAUUGAAUGCUAAACUGAAGCAGGUCUGUUAUGUCAAGUCCUGGUCACAGAAAAUUGGGAUCUUGAUAUAUGGGAUGGGCACAUCUGGAUGGAAGCCCCUGAAGAUUUCGGCUCCCUGGCUCUUCUAAGCCUUCAGAGCCUGUAGAGGUUGCCUAUCCUCUCCCUAUUAAGAGUUCUAAUUACUCUACAUCUUAGACAAUAUUAACCGAUGAAAUCAGAUUUUCAAAAUUUUUACAAAAAUGAAGAACAUAAAACGAUAUCUCACUGUGUUGCUAAUUUGCCUUUCCCUUUUUACCUUUACCUCAUUAGCCGUGAACUGCAUCUUCAUAGCUUUUGCCUAUUUUCCAUUUAGUUGUUUCUCUUUCUUUUAUUGAAGUGUAGAGUUCUUGCAAUGUUCUGGGUACCAAUUAGUAGGUUAAACCCUGCAAAUAUCUUCUCCCAGAGUGUGGCUUGUCCGUUCAUUUUUUAAUGGUCUCACUUGAGGCAAAGAAAUUUUAACUAUAAUUGACCUUAUUACUCUUACCAUUUUUGAUUUGCAGGUUUUGAGUUUGUUCAGAAAUCUCUCUCUGAUUCAAGAUCAUAAACAUUUCGUCCUAUAUUUUCUGCUAAGGGUUUUAAAUUUUGCUUUUUAUAUUUAUGUCUUUAAUCUACUUGAAAUUUAUUUUUCUGUGUGGUGUGCAGUAGGGAAGCCCUUUAAACUUUAUUUUUCCUGUCUAGAUAACCAAUUUUCUCAGCAUAAUUUGUUGUAUAGUCUGUUCCUCCCUCUGACUUACAGUUCAACCUCUUUUAUAUAUCCAAUUUUUAUACAUGUGUGGGUCUAUUUCACUGUUCUUUACUCAGUUCCAUGAGUUAUAUGCCAGUAGAGACUAUAUUCCAGCAUCUUAAUUACUACAAAUUUGGGACUUGAUGAGUCAAGUCCUCUUUUUCUUUUUCAAAAUUGUCUUGGCUAUUCUCAGCCUUUAGACUUUUCACAGAAAUUUCAGAAUCAGCUCAUCAACUUCCAUAAAAACUCUACUUUUUUCUUUCAUUUCUUUUUUAUUCACAUUGUAUCAUGUACAUUUGAUUAAUUUUCCAUCAGUGCAAGGCAACAUUUCUGAUUGUUCACUUUGUGCCUCUUCCUUAAAUUACUGAGUCUCCUCAAGUUGGUUGUAAUAUAUUUUUUUCUUACUCAAUAGAUCAGGCUGCUGAAGUGACUGGAAACAUAGUGAAAUAGCAAGUGCAAGGAUUAUCUCAGGAAUUAGCAGCAUGUAGUUUGUCAAAAUGAGACCCAUAAAUUGAAGAUGCUGGGAGACAGAAAGAUAGACACAUACAUAUUUUUGUUGACGCUGCUGAACUAUUUGAAAGUAAGUUUUAGCCAUAGCGACACUUCCCUCUUCCAAGCUUCAAGAUGUAUCUCCUAUGAAUUAAGACAUUCUUCUAAGUAACCACAAUAUCUGUAUCACACCCAGAAAAUAUAACUUUCACACAAAAUACUAUCUUCUAUAUGGUCCUUAUUUAAAUUUAAUUAUCCCAUAAAGCCUAUUGCAACUAUUUUUAAUUUUGAUCCAGGAUCCAAUUUUGGUAGCUUAAAUAAGUAUUCAAAACUAUUCACUCACUCCUCUUUUGCACUUGGCCCUAGCCAUGUGACUUUCUGGAACCGGUGAAUGGUUAGAAGAUCUGAAGUAAGCAGGGCCUUGAAAUGUGCUUGCCUGUGUGUUUCUAUCAUUGCCAUGAAAAAAGCUUCCCUAGUAUAGGAACUGUACCUUCAGCCAGUACUCUCAAAUAACCAUACAUGGAGCAGCGCUGCCCAGCUGACCCACAAACCCAGGAGCAAAAUACAUGCUCAUCACUGUAUGCCACUGGGAUUUUGUUCUUGGUUGUUAUGCCACAAAAACCAUGGGAUAUAUCAAUAAAAGUUCCAAGUAUAUUUACUUAUUAUAUCUUUUGUCGUCCUUUAUUCUAGAAGAAUUCUCCACAACUCUUACCUCACCACACACACACAAAUACACACACCAUUUUUUUUUUGUCUUUCGAGCCAUUGAUAUUUUUUGGAGAACCCAUAACACUUGUCAUAUAGGAUAGUCCACAAUCUGGACAUGUCUGAUUGUUUCCGCAUAAGUAGAUUCAGGUUCUGCAUGAGUAGAUUGUGGCAAGAAUAUUGCAUUAGCGAAGUUGUGUAUUUUCCAUAGUUUUACAUAAUAUCACAUAAUAAGUCCCAUAAUAUCAGUUUGUUUGAUUUCUAAUAAUGCUGAGUUUGGUCACUUGGUUUAGGAAAUGUCUGCCUUAUAUCUCCAUUUUAGUGGUACUUUUUCCCCUUUGUAUUUAAUAAAUAAUCUGUGGAGUGAUACUUCAAAACUAUAUGAAUAUUGUGUCCCCAACAACCUUUUACAAAAUGUGUUUAGCAACCAUUAACGAUCUUUGCCUGAAUCAAUUUUUACAUUCAUUAGUUGUUUAAAAACAGCAAUUCUUAAUUGAUAAUCUUUUGUAAAGAAUGCUCCUACCAUUUAUAUUUUAUCAUUUUAACUAUGGAUUCAAGGGUUAUUUUAUGUGUCAAUGGGCUAUAAUCCAUUAAUACAAUUAUUUGGUGGGGGGCGAGGAAGGGUGCUUAUAACAUCGCAAGUUUGAUCAGUGGAAGCCCUGUCAAACCCUUCAGCGUCUUCUUAUUUUGUCAGUUUCCUAUAGGUGAGCAUAGACAAUGCUUCUAAAAUUCACCUGUUAAAAACAGUGCCGUAACAUCUUCAUAUAGAGGCUGUUUGGUACAAUCAUAGAAGCCGAGCUGCAAGGUCAAAUGCUAAAUAUAUAUGUGGUUUUGCUAGAUAUUCCCUAAUUGUCCUCAUUAGGGGUUGUGUCAGUCACAGUCCGGGCAGGAGACAGAAACCACAGUAAUUUAAGCACAGAAAGAUUAAUAUAAAGAAUUAUUAACUGGUAAUAGGUGAUUAGAGUGACAGAUGAUUGGCUACUAAAGGGUAAAGAAAACUCUAAGGAAUAUAUAAGAAUAUCAGUUACAUGGAAUAACUACGAUUCCUGAAGCUGAAGCAAAGUACCAAAGGAAGAAAAGGUUUUAGAGAGACCCCCACCCUCAUGAAAAAGCUGAGAUUUAGAUCUCACUGGAGAGGGAGUGGGCAUUUCCCGUUGGGUAGCAGAGAAGUUUGCUGCGCUGCUUCAGCCACUCACUGGGGUGCAGACGAAACUUGGUUGAAAGCUGACUGCGGAUGGGAGGAGACACUUCCUGUUGAACUAGCUGGGAAACUGAAAGGGAUAGUUGCUAGAAGGCCACCAGGAAUUAUGUCACUGGAAGGAUGUUGAAAUUUCUGGGAAACCAGCUAGCACACCUGUGGAACUCACCUGGAACCUGCCUGAGUAGUUGCUACUGAAACUGUGUGGGGUGAGCUCCACUGAGUGUCCCACAUCCACUGAGUGUCCCAAACACUGCAGAAGCAAUUAGAAAAGAAAACACAAUGGAAGCAUAUAAAGAAUCUCCUCCCUCCUACAGUGUCCUUCCACUGGUAAUAGGUGAUUAGAAGCUUACUACUUGCGAAGCUUAACAUAAUGCUACUUGGCAAAAGGAGAAGUGUUCACAAGAUCCAGCUCCAGUAUCAUAAGUAGGGCAAUGCAGGAGGAUUUGGAGAUGAGAGGUAAUGAACUGCUCACUGGCACAGGGGUUGAAACAGUUUGCACUCCACCAGCAAUGCAUAAAAAUGGUUUUUUCGUCAAAGUUCUACCAAGAGGCAAGCUUUGGGAAUUUUGUCAGUCUUAUUGGUGAGCAAUGGUAUUGCAGUAUAUUCGUUAAUUUUAAUUUAUCUUAUGAGUAAAGUUGAACAUCUUUUGUAUAUUUGAGUCAUUUUAUAUCUUUUUCUGUGAAAUGUUUGUUCAUGUCUUUUGUCUACUCUCUAUUGAGUUUUUAUUCGGGUUUUUUUUUCUUUUUUAAUUGAUUUUUAAGAGUCCUGUACAUAAUUAGAGAGAUGACCCUUUGUCUGUGGUAUAUGUUACAAAUAUUUUCUCCAAAUUUUUCAUUUGUCUUUUCACAUUAUUUCUCAUGAGGUUGUUGGGGUGGGGUUUUUUUUGCCAUCAUUCAAUCAAUUUAUCAAUAUUUUCUUUAAUUACAUCUUGAUUUUGAGUAAUGGAUAAGAAAACUUUCCCUAUAUCUAGAAAUUCAUCCAUGUUUUCUUCUAGUACUUUGGAUAGUUUCAUUUUCCAUAUUUCAGAAUCAUUAGGAUUUUAUUCAGAAUAAUGCAAGGUAUCUUUUCCCAAACGACUAUUCAGUUCCUUUCAAAAUAAUUUCUCCAGUGAUUUGAGAUGAUGCCCUUAUCAUCUAUUAAAUUUUCAUAUGAAUUUUUCAAUAAUGGCUAGAAAACUGAAGGAAAAAAUGAGAAGGUUUCACUUACCAAGUGUUAAAAUAAAACAUAUUAUAAAGCUUUUAUAGUUAAAGUAAUGUGACAUUGGUACAGAAAUAGAGAAAUAGACCAAAAGUGAAUUUAAAGUCAAACUACAAUAGAGGUCAGGAAAAAGGACACAUCUGGCUCUGCAUUUCAACCUUAUAGAGGUGAUCAUAAAGUAAUGGAAUUGGUUGAAACUGCUGCUUAACAGAAUACUCUAAAAUUUACUGACUUAAAAUAACAACCAUUUUACUAUCUUAUGAUUUUGUGGGUCAGGAAUUCAGGCAAGGCUUAGCUGUGCCAUACUUCUGCUCCACAAGGCAUCCAUAGAACAGUAUUCGGCUGGCAGAUGAACUUAUCUGUAAGAAUCAAAAUGGCUUCACUCCUCCACAUUGAUGGGGAUGGCUGGAAAGCGGAACUCAGCUGGAACCGUCAUCCAGAGCACCUAUAAGUGGCCUCUCAGUCAUAGACAUUUCAUGGUAGUGGGCACCUCAGACACUAGAUCAAGGCUUUAAGCAAGAGUGUUCCAAGAGCCCAACAUGGAAGCUAUAAGGCUACAUCUGACCUAGACUCACAAUUUACCCAGUAUCUCUUCUGCCACAUUCUAUUGGUUACAGCAAGGCAAAGGCCCAGCAUAGAAACAAGAAGUGUGUGAGUACUGGGAAGUGUGGUUCACUAGGGCAGGAGUAUAUCUUUGGAAAUUGGCUACUACAAAAAUGAAAAAAAUAAUUUAAAAACUAAAUUGCAGAAGAAAUCUUUUAAAAUACCUACAUUACUAAUGGUCAGAGCGCGAAUGUAGUGCAGAAGCAUAUCAAGCCUACUCAGUGAAAAAGCCAUAGAAGAGAGUCAUAAAGAACUAUGUAAUACUGGAAAGUGCAAGUAAUAGAAAGAAGACGGUCCACCUUGUCACAGGCUGGAGAAGAGCAGGAAAGGCGGAGACUUGGAAGAGGCAAUCGGCUUUAUUAAGAGUCAUUGGUAACUUUCAAGAGAGGUAUUUAUGUCGCGAUGUUUAAUAAUUCUGAAGUCAAAUAAUAAAAGGUUGUGAGUAGAGAAUGAAAAAGAAAGUCGCUACACUCUCUCUUUAUUAUAUUGCAAAGAUAAAAUAAAUAAAAAUUGAAAGCUCUGAAGAAUAAUCUUGAGGUAAUACUCAUAUCACUCAAUAUAUCCCUAUCUUUGGCUCUAUCAAAACACUUUUUUUUGUAGAAAAAAAGAUUUUU